CAGUCGCCGCGGUAAUACGGAGGGAGCUAGCGUUAUUCGGAAUUACUGGGCGUAAAGCGCACGUAGGCGGCUUUGUAAGUAAGAGGUGAAAGCCCGGAGCUCAACUCCGGAACUGCCUUUUAGACUGCAUCGCUUGAAUCCAGGAGAGGUGAGUGGAAUUCCGAGUGUAGAGGUGAAAUUCGUAGAUAUUCGGAAGAACACCAGUGGCGAAGGCGGCUCACUGGACUGGUAUUGACGCUGAGGUGCGAAAGCGUGGGGAGCAAACAGGAUUAGAUACCCCUGUAGUCCCUGUCUCUUAUAC
rnacentral:rRNA from 1 species